rnacentral:rRNA from 1 species
AGUCGAACGGGAAUUACUUUAUUGAAACUUCGGUCGAUUUAAUUUGAUUCUAGUGGCGGACGGGUGAGUAACGCGUGGGUAACCUGCCUUAUACAGGGGGAUAACAGUCAGAAAUGGCUGCUAAUACCGCAUAAGCGCACAGAGCUGCAUGGCUCAGUGUGUAAAACUCCGGUGGUAUAAGAUGGACCCGCGUUGGAUUAGCUAGUUGGUGGGGUAACGGCCCACCAAGGCGACGAUCCAUAGCCGGCCUGAGAGGGUGAACGGCCACAUUGGGACUGAGACACGGCCCAGACUCCUACGGGAGGCAGCAGUGGGGAAUAUUGCACAAUGGGGGAAACCCUGAUGCAGCGACGCCGCGUGAAGGAAGAAGUAUCUCGGUAUGUAAACUUCUAUCAGCAGGGAAGAUAGUGACGGUACCUGACUAAGAAGCCCCGGCUAACUACGUGCCAGCAGCCGCGGUAAUACGUAGGGGGCAAGCGUUAUCCGGAUUUACUGGGUGUAAAGGGAGCGUAGACGGUGUGGCAAGUCUGAUGUGAAAGGCAUGGGCUCAACCUGUGGACUGCAUUGGAAACUGUCAUACUUGAGUGCCGGAGGGGUAAGCGGAAUUCCUAGUGUAGCGGUGAAAUGCGUAGAUAUUAGGAGGAACACCAGUGGCGAAGGCGGCUUACUGGA